UACGUAGGGGGCAAGCGUUGUCCGGAAUCAUUGGGCGUAAAGCGCGCGUAGGCGGCCCGGUAAGUCCGCUGUAAAAGUCCAGGGCUCAACCCUGGAAAGCCGGUGGAUACUGUCGGGCUAGAGUCCGGAAGAGGCGAGUGGAAUUCCUGGUGUAGCGGUGGAAUGCGCAGAGAUCAGGAGGAACACCGAUUGCGAAGGCAGCUCGCUGGGACGUUACUGACGCUGAGACGCGAAAGCGUGGGGAGCAAACAGG
rnacentral:rRNA from 1 species